UAGCGAAAUUCCUUGUCGGGUAAGUUCCGACCUGCACGAAUGGCGUAACGACUUCUCGACUGUCUCAACCAUAGGCUCGGCGAAAUUGCACUACGAGUAAAGAUGCUCGUUACGCGCGGCAGGACGGAAAGACCCCGGGACCUUUACUACAGCUUGAUAUUGGUGUUCGGUUCGGCUUGUGUAGGAUAGGUGGGAGACGGUGAAGCUGGCACGCCAGUGUCGGUGGAGUCAACGUUGAAAUACCACUCUGGUCGAAUUGGAUGUCUAACCUCGGUCCGUGAUCCGGAUCAGGGACAGUGUCAGGUGGGUAGUUUAACUGGGGCGGUUGCCUCCCAAAAUGUAACGGAGGCGCCCAAAGGUUCCCUCAGCCUGGUUGGCAAUCAGGUGUCGAGUGCAAGUGCACAAGGGAGCUUGACUGUGAGACAGACAUGUCGAGCAGGGACGAAAGUCGGGACUAGUGAUCCGGCACUGGCUUGUGGAAGCGGUGUCGCUCAACGGAUAAAAGGUACCCCGGGGAUAACAGGCUGAUCUUGCCCAAGAGUCCAUAUCGACGGCAAGGUUUGGCACCUCGAUGUCGGCUCGUCACAUCCUGGGGCUGGAGUAGGUCCCAAGGGUUGGGCUGUUCGCCCAUUAAAGUGGCACGCGAGCUGGGUUUAGAACGUCGUGAGACAGUUCGGUCCCUAUCCGCCGCGCGCGCAGGAGACUUGAGAAGAGCUGUCCCUAGUACGAGAGGACCGGGACGGACGAACCUCUGGUGUGACAGUUGUCGUGCCAACGGCACUGCUGUUUAGCUACGUUCGGCAGGGAUAACCGCUGAAAGCAUCUAAGCGGGAAGCUCGCUUCAAGAUGAGGUCUCCCACAGGGUCAACCUGGUAAGGCCCCCCACUAGACCAUGGGGUUGAUAGGCCGGAAGUGGAAGCCCAGCAAUGGGUGUAGCUGACCGGUACUAAUAGGCCGAGGGCUUGACUUC
rnacentral:rRNA from 1 species